AAAAAAUCCAAAACUAUUCUAAAUAUAUAAUUGUUUGAAUUACUUACAAUAAAUUUUAAAGUCAGUUUUAAAACCAUAUUUAACUUAGAAUUUUUUGGAAUUUAAUAUAACAUUUCUGUAUUUUAGAAAGCGCACUGAUUUUCACACACAUUUUUUAAAAAAUAUUAUGUAAAUGUGAAUGUAUAUAAAUUUCUAUUACUUUCUUUUUUACAAUUUAAAGAGUGUGAGUUUUUACAUUUGUCUCUAGAUAUAAUAAGAUGGAACUUUUCAAAGAUGAAAACUGAUCCUGCAGUUAUUGCUGUUGUGAAGCAGAGGCAUUCCAAAGACCUUUCCCUAAGUGCAAUUGCAAAAUUUGUUGGAAAAUCAAAGUCUACCAUUCAAUACAUGAUUAAAAAUGAUUUUAACAGAAAGAAAAACUACAAGCCAACAAAUAAAAUUUUCUUUAAACAUGAUGUGAAGUGGCAUAUGCUCAACUUAAAGAGACAAACCAAAGAGUUACUGCAAAAGCAUUGAAAGCAGAAGAUGCACUUCUUUGCUCUGUGUGGGCAAUCCAAAAGCAACUCUGUUGACAAAAGUUCUGUUAUGGAAAAAGUAGACAAAGAAAUUCCUCUGAUCAAGAUGCAGCCUGCAGAACAUGUUUGUUAUUGCUAUAAGUGAAUUACUUCAUUUCAUCCCUAGUCCAGAUGAAAAGCUUAUUCAAUCAUUCCUUCAUUUCAGUAAUUUUUAUUUUGAUUUUUUUUUAUAAAUUUUUGAAUUUAUAUCCAGAAAAAACUGAACAUAUACAAAAAUCAUCAUCUCU
rnacentral:lncRNA from 1 species